UCCGAGGCCCGGCCCGGCCCGGCCGCCCACCCACCGGCACGUCAAACGCCCUCAUUUCCCUUGAAAAGUUUCUAGACGGGUUGGAGAAUCAGAGACAACCUCCUCAAUUCCAAUGGUGUCAAUUCAACUGGCUAAGGCAAUAGAAAAGGCAUUAAAAAUGAGUCCUUGGCUGGUCACGGGAGAUGGCCUUCUUGCCACUUCUAAGUUCCAUUCAACUCACAGAGAAGUCUUGAUGACUGAAGAAGUUGCUGCUCAUGCAUUUCCUGCAAAAUGUAUUUCGAAGACAGAGACCAUCAGUUGCUUCUUACUGAAAGCUGAUGAGGAACUCUUCUUUUAUAAACCCAGUCUGAAAACUUCCUCUGGCUAUUUCUCGUCUCCUGAGAAUUUUCUCUGCCCUCAGGAGAGUCCUCAGCUCCUCUAUACAUAAGGGGGUAGCAAAUUAUAUUCCUAAAUAAAAUCUAGUAGCA
rnacentral:lncRNA from 1 species